CAGUAGCCGCGGGAAUACGUAGGGGGCGAGCGUUGUCCGAAGUUACUGGGCGUAAAGCGCGCGUAGGCGGCUUCUUAAGUCUGAGGUGAAAGGUUCAACGCUUAACGUGAACAGUGCCUUGGAUACUGGGGAGCUUGAGUAUGGGAGAGGGCAGUGGAAUGGCUGGUGUAGCGGUGAAAUGCGUAGAUAUCAGUCGGAACACCCAUGGCGAAGGCAGCUGCCUGGCCUAAUACUGACGCUGAGGCGCGAAAGCGUGGGGAGCAAACAGGAUUAGAUACCCCCGUAGUCCCUGUCUCUUAUA
rnacentral:rRNA from 1 species